rnacentral:rRNA from 1 species
UACGGAGGGAGCUAGCGUUGUUCGGAAAUACUGGGCGUAAAGCGCACGUAGGCGGCGCAGCAAGUCAGGGGUGAAAUCCCGGGGCUCAACCUCGGAACUGCCCUUGAAACUGCAGUGCUAGAAUCUUGGAGAGGCGAGUGGAAUUCCGAGUGUAGAGGUGAAAUUCGUAGAUAUUCGGAAGAACACCAGUGGCGAAGGCGACUCGCUGGACAAGUAUUGACGCUGAGGUGCGAAAGCGUGGGGAGCGAACAGG